GAUGAACGCUGACAGAAUGCUUAACACAUGCAAGUCAACUUGAAUUUGGGUUUUUAACUUAGAUUUGGGUGGCGGACGGGUGAGUAACGCGUAAAGAACUUGCCUCACAGUUAGGGACAACAUUUAGAAAUGAAUGCUAAUACCUGAUAUUAUGAUUUUAAGGCAUCUUAGAAUUAUGAAAGCUAUAAGCACUGUGAGAGAGCUUUGCGUCCCAUUAGCUAGUUGGAGAGGUAACAGCUCACCAAGGCGAUGAUGGGUAGCCGGCCUGAGAGGGUGCACGGCCACAAGGGGACUGAGACACGGCCCUUACUCCUACGGGAGGCAGCAGUGGGGAAUAUUGGACAAUGGACCAAGAGUCUGAUCCAGCAAUUCUGUGUGCACGAUGAAGUUUUUCGGAAUGUAAAGUGCUUUCAGUUGGGAAGAAAGAAAUGACGGUACCAACAGAAGAAGUGACGGCUAAAUACGUGCCAGCAGCCGCGGUAAUACGUAUGUCACGAGCGUUAUCCGGAUUUAUUGGGCGUAAAGCGCGUCUAGGUGGUUAUGUAAGUCUGAUGUGAAAAUGCAGGGCUCAACUCUGUAUUGCGUUGGAAACUGUAUAACUAGAGUACUGGAGAGGUAAGCGGAACUACAAGUGUAGAGGUGAAAUUCGUAGAUAUUUGUAGGAAUGCCGAUGGGGAAGCCAGCUUACUGGACAGAUACUGACGCUAAGCGCGAAAGCGUGGGUAGCAAACAGG
rnacentral:rRNA from 1 species